UGGGGAAUAUUGCACAAUGGGCGCAAGCCUGAUGCAGCAAUGCCGCGUGAGUGAAGACGGCCUUAGGGUUGUAAAACUCUUUCGCUAGGGAAGAUAAUGACGGUACCUAGUAAAGAAGCCCCGGCUAACUCCGUGCCAGCAGCCGCGGUAAUACGGAGGGGGCUAGCGUUGUUCGGAAUUACUGGGCGUAAAGCGCGCGUAGGCGGACUGAUCAGUCAGGGGUGAAAUCCCGGGGGCUCAACCCCGGAACUGCCUUUGAUACUGUCAGUCUUGAGUCCGGAAGAGGCGAGUGGAAUACCGAGUGUAGAGGUGAAAUUCGUAGAUAUUAGGUGGAACACCAGUGGCGAAGGCGCCUAACUGGUCCGGUACUGACGCUGAGGAACGAAAAGCGUGGGGAGCAAACAGGAUUAGAUACCCUGGUAGUCCACGCCGUAAACGAUGAGUGCUAGAUGUUGGGAUUUUCGGAUUUCAGUGUCGCAGCUAACGCAUUAAGCACUCCGCCUGGGAGUACGGCCGCAAGGUUAAAACUC
rnacentral:rRNA from 1 species